AACCGCUAAGCUGAAACAACAGAUCAGAUAAUACUUAUUAGAAUGGAGAAACCCUUCAGAACUGCUCGACUAUAUAACAAACAUUGACCCAAAAGCUCAGUGCAUUGCACUUAAAAGCUCUUGCUCGAUCUGCGGUACGUCUCUAAGUGUGGCAUUACUUAGUCUACCAUAUAUAACGGAUCAGCGAUUAUCAUGGUCGCCCCCCCAAAUAGACCUCAAGCUGACCGCAAUUAGAGCAAUGCACCCGUUUGGAGUUGUUAUGGGAAAUGCCCCCGAUGCCCGAUGGAAGCCCCCGAUGCAUGACGCAUAUAUUGACAGGAUGGAUCGCUGACCUGUUUUGCUAAUUGACAACAGCAGCAGAGACAACUUAACUGAACUCAACAGGUGUUAAUUGAUUGAGUGAGUGAGUGGAACUUACCCUCCAGAUUCUGAUCAUAGCCCUUGGUGAAGUACAGCAUUGCCUUUGCCGCACGCUCCGGUGUCUUGAUCAGACCCUGACGAUCGGGAUUCUCGCCGAGGCCGCCCAAGAGCAGGCGAUAAGAGCGCGCCAUAUCGGGCAACAAUGCCUCCCGCG